GCGACAUGUUUCAAAUGCCCUGCAGCGGCGGAGUGCAAGUAAAUGUGGGGGCAUUUUAGUGAGGUUUCUUUCUACUCCAUGGACACUUUUACUCACAGUAGUUGAGGCUGAGGGAAAGGGAUUAUUGCGUAGAAGGCCCUACACUGACACAAAAAUAUAAUGGGGUAAGAGAAUGUGUAAUUAAAAUGACUUUUUAGGUUGCCAUGGUGAAAUGUCUCCUUAUGCACUGACAUUCAAAUUGUCUGAACUAAGACAGGUUGGGCAGGUAAAUGCAAGAAGCAACAUGAAUCACUACCAGUGUUUGGAUUUUUUUUUUUUAAUCCUACAUGACUUUUUCCAAAAUUCUUAGUUUUAUUGCUAAAUAAGAAUAAAAUUUUCAUUAGUGGGUAACAUAAAAAUAAAUAUCUUCCUAAAAUUUGAUUGAUGAACUUACAAACAACUUAAGAGAUCAGCAGGUUGUGAAGAGACACACAAACCCCUUUAACUGGGUCAAACGGGUAAACACAAAACACCCAUUAAGCUGCUACGCUUUGUUUUUAAAGAAAUGGGCAACAGUCAUUCAAGACAUGCUAACGCAGCAGUUAAGUAUUUUCACUAAAAGGUUUGCAGCUGUGAAAAAAAAAAAA